rnacentral:rRNA from 1 species
UACGUAGGGUCCGAGCGUUAAUCGGAAUUACUGGGCGUAAAGCGUGCGCAGGCGGUUUUUGUAAGCCAGAUGUGAAAAGCCCCGGGCUCAACCUGGGAACUGCAUUUGGGACUGCAAGGCUGGAGUACGGCAGAGGGAGGUGGAAUUCCACGUGUAGCAGUGAAAUGCGUAGAGAUGUGGAGGAACACCGAUGGCGAAGGCAGCCUCCUGGGCUAGUACUGACGCUCAUGCACGAAAGCGUGGGGAGCAAACAGGA